AACAUGCAGUCGAACGGUAACAGGAAGCAGCUUGCUGCUUUGCUGACGAGUGGCGGACGGGUGAGUAAUGUCUGGGAAACUGCCUGAUGGAGGGGGAUAACUACUGGAAACGGUAGCUAAUACCGCAUAACGUCGCAAGACCAAAGAGGGGGACCUUCGGGCCUCUUGCCAUCGGAUGUGCCCAGAUGGGAUUAGCUAGUAGGUGGGGUAACGGCUCACCUAGGCGACGAUCCCUAGCUGGUCUGAGAGGAUGACCAGCCACACUGGAACUGAGACACGGUCCAGACUCCUACGGGAGGCAGCAGUGGGGAAUAUUGCACAAUGGGCGCAAGCCUGAUGCAGCCAUGCCGCGUGUAUGAAGAAGGCCUUCGGGUUGUAAAGUACUUUCAGCGGGGAGGAAGGCGAUAAGGUUAAUAACCUUGUCGAUUGACGUUACCCGCAGAAGAAGCACCGGCUAACUCCGUGCCAGCAGCCGCGGUAAUACGGAGGGUGCAAGCGUUAAUCGGAAUUACUGGGCGUAAAGCGCACGCAGGCGGUCUGUCAAGUCGGAUGUGAAAUCCCCGGGCUCAACCUGGGAACUGCAUUCGAAACUGGCAGGCUAGAGUCUUGUAGAGGGGGGUAGAAUUCCAGGUGUAGCGGUGAAAUGCGUAGAGAUCUGGAGGAAUACCGGUGGCGAAGGCGGCCCCCUGGACAAAGACUGACGCUCAGGUGCGAAAGCGUGGGGGAGCAAACAGGGAUUAGAUACCCUGGUAGUCCACGCCGUAAACGAUGUCGACUUGGAGGUUGUGCCCUUGAGGCGUGGCUUCCGGAGCUAACGCGUUAAGUCGACCGCCUGGGGGAGUACGGCCGCAGGGUUAAAACUCAAUGAAUUUGACGGGGGCCCGCACAAGCGGUGGAAGCAUGGUGGUUUAAUUUCGAUGCAACGCGAAGACUCUUUACCUACUCGUGGACAUCCAGAGGACCUUUCCAGAAAUGGUUUUGGU
rnacentral:rRNA from 1 species